GAUGAACGCUAGCUACAGGCUUAACACAUGCAAGUCGCGGGGCAGCAUGGGGGUUGCUUGCAAUCCCCGAUGGCGACCGGCGCACGGGUGAGUAACGCGUAUCCAACCUGCCCUUCACCACGGGAUAACCCGGCGAAAGUCGGACUAAUACCGUAUGUUGUCCAUUGACGGCAUCCGAUUUGGACGAAAGGUUUGGCGGUGAAGGAUGGGGAUGCGUCCGAUUGGCUGGACGGCGGGGUGACGGCCCACCGUGGCGACGAUCGGUAGGGGUUCUGAGAGGAAGGUCCCCCACACUGGAACUGAGACACGGUCCAGACUCCUACGGGAGGCAGCAGUGAGGAAUAUUGGUCAAUGGGCGUAAGCCUGAACCAGCCAAGUAGCGUGCAGGAUGACGGCCCUAUGGGUUGUAAACUGCUUUUAUGCGGGGAUAAAGUGGCCCACGUGUGGGUUUUUGCAGGUACCGCAUGAAUAAGGACCGGCUAAUUCCGUG
rnacentral:rRNA from 1 species